UACGAGGGGGCGAGCGUUGUUCGGAAUUAUUGGGCGUAAAGCGCACGUAGGCGGAUCGUUAAGUCGGGGGUGAAAUCCUGGAGCUCAACUCCAGAACUGCCUUCGAUACUGGCGAUCUUGAGUCCGGAAGAGGGUGAGUGGAACUCCUAGUGUAGAGGUGGAAUUCGUAGAUAUUAGGAAGAACACCAGUGGCGAAGGCGGCUCACUGGUCCGGUACUGACGCUGAGGUGCGAAAGCGGUGGGGAGCAAACAGG
rnacentral:rRNA from 1 species